rnacentral:lncRNA from 1 species
AUGAGUAGGGGGGCAGGGAUGAAAGUGAGGUGGUGUGGGGGAACCGGAGGACCCGGCAAAGGAUUACGUGCGGAUCCCUUUGGGAAGUCAAGCGGAUCUCAGGGCCGAGGGCAGGAGAGGAGGAGGAGAGAGGCAAAGAGGGGGGGUGCCGAGGAGGAGAGCCCAGCGGAGGGGGAGGGGGCGGCCGGGCCCGGCGAGGGGGAGGAAGGAGCGUGGAAGGAAGAAAGAAAGGCAGGGCUUCGGGACGCGCAGCGCGGAGAAGUGGAGUUCGAAGUUCUCAAGUGGCUGGCUGCAGCCCCUCCGCGCUCAGCACGCCCGCAGACACGCUCCCAUGCCCACCUACGCCAGCUUCGGAGCAUCCCAGCCUCCGAUCCCAUCCUCCACCCCCUGAAAAAGCCCCUGGCUGGCGCGCGAAGGCCGGGCCGCUGUGCACCCCGAGAAGAGUGGCGCUCUCCCCCAGACCAGCUCAACUCCUGCUGGACUCCAGACACUCACAUAACCUUUCUUGGCUUAUUUUGGCAAGAAGAUGGCUGUCGAGAUGAAGACAAGAGUGUUUUUGGUUGGAGGAGAACUCUGUAGACGCCGUGCCUGAAUCUCUAGAUGGUCAGAAGUUUGGGCGCUGCAAAAAAACAGCAGAAGGUUUGGAGUGGAGGCAAACUGGUGUGGCCAGGGAAGCCUUCGACUGAGCGCUGGGCCACCAGGUCCUAGUCCCAGAUCUAGUACUAAGUGUAUGACCUUUGACCAGUCUGGUUCACUCAAUCAGUACCAGGCACUGUGCUCAGUGGCUCGACACCACAGUGAGCAACACCUACAAGAUCUUUCCCCUUGGGGAGCUUAUGUUUCAUUAAUAACCACAAACAAACAUAGAAUCACAAACUGGGUAAAGGAAAAUCCAGCGUGACUGGAGACCUGAGCAAGCUGGGAGGUGAGCUUGGGGAGGGGAGUGGUACAGAGAAGGAGAAGGCUUUCCUGGGGGAAUGAGGUUACACUGAUAAGAAGGAAUGAGGAAUGAGGGAGGGUGGACUAGGAGAACGGGAAGUGGAGUGUACCAG